UUUAUGGAGAGUUUGAUCCUGGCUCAGGAUGAACGCUGGCGGCGUGCCUAAUACAUGCAAGUCGAGCGAACGGACGAGAAGCUUGCUUCUCUGAUGUUAGCGGCGGACGGGUGAGUAACACGUGGAUAACCUACCUAUAAGACUGGGAUAACUUCGGGAAACCGGAGCUAAUACCGGAUAAUAUUUUGAACCGCAUGGUUCAAAAGUGAAAGACGGUCUUGCUGUCACUUAUAGAUGGAUCCGCGCUGCAUUAGCUAGUUGGUAAGGUAACGGCUUACCAAGGCAACGAUGCAUAGCCGACCUGAGAGGGUGAUCGGCCACACUGGAACUGAGACACGGUCCAGACUCCUACGGGAGGCAGCAGUAGGGAAUCUUCCGCAAUGGGCGAAAGCCUGACGGAGCAACGCCGCGUGAGUGAUGAAGGUCUUCGGAUCGUAAAACUCUGUUAUUAGGGAAGAACAUAUGUGUAAGUAACUGUGCACAUCUUGACGGUACCUAAUCAGAAAGCCACGGCUAACUACGUGCCAGCAGCCGCGGUAAUACGUAGGUGGCAAGCGUUAUCCGGAAUUAUUGGGCGUAAAGCGCGCGUAGGCGGUUUUUUAAGUCUGAUGUGAAAGCCCACGGCUCAACCGUGGAGGGUCAUUGGAAACUGGAAAACUUGAGUGCAGAAGAGGAAAGUGGAAUUCCAUGUGUAGCGGUGAAAUGCGCAGAGAUAUGGAGGAACACCAGUGGCGAAGGCGACUUUCUGGUCUGUAACUGACGCUGAUGUGCGAAAGCGUGGGGAUCAAACAGGAUUAGAUACCCUGGUAGUCCACGCCGUAAACGAUGAGUGCUAAGUGUUAGGGGGUUUCCGCCCCUUAGUGCUGCAGCUAACGCAUUAAGCACUCCGCCUGGGGAGUACGACCGCAAGGUUGAAACUCAAAGGAAUUGACGGGGACCCGCACAAGCGGUGGAGCAUGUGGUUUAAUUCGAAGCAACGCGAAGAACCUUACCAAAUCUUGACAUCCUUUGACAACUCUAGAGAUAGAGCUUUCCCCUUCGGGGGACAAAGUGACAGGUGGUGCAUGGUUGUCGUCAGCUCGUGUCGUGAGAUGUUGGGUUAAGUCCCGCAACGAGCGCAACCCUUAAGCUUAGUUGCCAUCAUUAAGUUGGGCACUCUAAGUUGACUGCCGGUGACAAACCGGAGGAAGGUGGGGAUGACGUCAAAUCAUCAUGCCCCUUAUGAUUUGGGCUACACACGUGCUACAAUGGACAAUACAAAGGGC
rnacentral:rRNA from 1 species